GAUCAUGGCUCAGGAUGAACGCUAGCUACAGGCUUAACACAUGCAAGUCGAGGGGUAGCAGGGUAGCAAUACCGCUGACGACCGGCGCACGGGUGAGUAACACGUAUCCAACCUUUCCCAUAACUCAGGGAUAGCCUUUCGAAAGAAAGAUUAAUACCUGAUAGUACUUUUUCAAGGCAUCUUGAGAAAGUUAAAGAUUUAUUGGUUAUGGAUGGGGAUGCGUUCCAUUAGAUAGUUGGUGAGGUAACGGCUUACCAAGUCUUCGAUGGAUAGGGGUUCUGAGAGGAAGGUCCCCCACAUUGGUACUGAGACACGGACCAAACUCCUACGGGAGGCAGCAGUGAGGAAUAUUGGUCAAUGGGCGAGAGCCUGAACCAGCCAAGUAGCGUGAAGGAUGAAGGUCCUAUGGAUUGUAAACUUCUUUUAUAGUAGAAUAAAGUGAUCCACGUGUGGAUUUUUGUAUGUAUACUAUGAAUAAGGAUCGGCUAACUCCGUGCCAGCAGCGGC
rnacentral:rRNA from 1 species